GGCGCCCAGCGGAGCGGCGGCGGCGCGACGUGUCGCUGCCAUGGCCGACGGGCGCCGCCGGCGGGGGCGGCGGUGACAGAUGUAUUUGAAGAGGCCGGCGGGCGGCCUCGCCUUCUGCCUCUUCUACCUGGCGUCCUGCUUCACCAACAAGUAUGUCCUGUCUGUCCUGCAAUUUACCUACCCUACCCUUUUUCAAGGGUGGCAAACAUUAGUGGGUGGACUUUUGCUUCACCUCUCAUGGAAGCUGGGUUGGGUGGAGAUAAACCUGUGUUCGAGGUCUGAAAUCCUGUCAUGGCUUCCUGCCUCAGUACUUUUUGUGGGCAUCAUUUAUGCUGGCUCUAGGUCACUGUCUAGAUUGCCAAUCCCGGUGUUCCUCACGGUGCACAAUGCAGCAGAAGUUAUAACCUGUGGGUUCCAGAAGUUUGUGCAGAAAGAGCAGACCUCUCAUCUGAAAGUCUGUAGUGUGCUGUUCCUCCUGGCAGCAGCAGUGUGCCUUCCUUUGUGUGACACACAGUUUGAUCCAAAUGGUUAUUUAUGGGCUCUAAUUCACUUGGUCUGUGUUGGGGCUUACAAAGUAUUUCACAAGUUGUGGAAACCUGGCUCCUUAAGUGAUCUGGACCAACAGUACAUCAACUAUGUAUUCAGUGUGGUGCUGUUGGCCUCUGCGUCCCAUCCAGCAGGUGAUCUCUUCAGUGCCUUGGACUUUCCAUUCCUGUACUUCUACAGGUUUCAUAGCAGCUGCUGUGCCAGUGGACUGUUGGGAUUCUUUCUGAUGUUGCACACAGCAAAGCUAAAAAGCAGCACAACCUCAGGGCAAUAUGCAGCCUGGAGUUUCCUUGCAAAGGUUAUCACUACUAGCUUAUCACCAUUCUUCUUUGCCAUGACCGCCAAUGUACUAACAAUUUCUUGUGCUAGGAAUACACGUGAUCUGUGUGUAAGAGACUAAACUACUAUCAAUGUACCCACAACACUCCUAGUCUAGGCCAUUAACUUGCUGCUCUUCACCAUGUUUUACAUGUGUUUGUGCAGGUCUAUCAUGUGCGUGCUAGAGGUAGGCUUGGAUUAAAUAUAUGUAUUCACUGAUACGUAUACUAAAAAAUAAUGUGUACCUUUGUUAAUGUGAGCAUGUAGACCCAUAUAGUUGCACACAUACCACAUGCCCUGUAUGUACUUCAAGUUAUAUAAAUGAUGACACUUCUGUAUGUUUAAGAGAAACUUUGCUUUAGCCCUGUUACACUUUGAUUGUCAUAAUUCAAACAGAAAACCAUUUCUUUUAUUUAUUUUUUUAAUUUGAAUUCUCAUAUUGCUUGUGCAUCGGCAGUGUCCUGGUUUAUCAGCAAAACUUUGGGAAUAGUUUGUUAGAUGAUAGCAGCUGCAAAACACUCAUGAGAUCAUUAAUCACUGAGGAUUUUAGUGUUGGUUCAGUGUUGUCAUGGACAAUAUCAUAUGUUAAUUUUUGAAUGACAGGCAAAUGCAGUUAGCUGUCACCCCACUAUAAACAGAAGCUGAAGGAUUUGCCAGAUGGUAAAUUGAAGGUAAAUCAAGGGUUGGCAUUUAGCCGUGGUUUUUGCUCUGCUUUAUCUUGAAGAUAUAACAAUGGUUUCUAGUGGCCUAGUAAUCUGGAUUCUUCUUCUCUUAUGUAGGAUGUAUGAUAUUAAAGAACAGUUUAGAUGCAGGCAUCUUUUUACAGAGUGGGGCUGAGCAGUUUACUAUCUUUUGUACAGAAUUGCCAGUCUAAUUUUUAGGAUGGUAUGUCAAAGUUAGGUUGGUUUUUUAAAGUCUCUGUUAAAAAUUUGGAAAAUUACUCUGUGGAAAUGAGGAAAAAAAAUUUCUAAGUCUCUGUUGAUUUUAGGUCUUCUACAGGAAGUGUUUUGGUUUGGGUUUUUUUUUCUUCAGGAUAAAGAAUACAUUAUCCAACCUUAGUUUCCAAAGAAAUUAAUGCAGAGUGUAUGUUUAUAACUGGAGAUGAAAUCCAGGCAAGACAGUGGGGUUAACCCUCUCCAAAGGAAAGCACUCGGAGGUUGUUAGUGGUCGCAGCCAACCAGACUCAGGUGGUUUAGAUCUUUUCGAAAAACUUGCAGCCCUCUCAGCCCUUUGCUCCUUGCUGGUAAUUCCACACCAAAGGUAGUCUCCCCAGUGGACUGUCUACAGACUGUCUGUAGCACCUACUUUCCAGGGCUGUUUACUGUGUAAUUGUAAGAUACUGUGCUGUUGUUAUACAAUAUUUUUUCCCUCUCAGGAACAAGGGCAAUUAUGUGUUUUUUAAAACAGCUCACUAAAGCUACGAUUUAAGUGAAUGUAAUACUAUUAGACCAAAGAGCCUUCAGCUUUACAUGCCUUUUUUUUAUCUUCCCAAGGAAAAAAAAAAGCCCUCUUACAAAUGAACUUAACAGGAGUUUGUUUUGUUUAUAAAGUUCAUUAAGGAGCUUUUCUGUUUCAUAAGCUAAUUAAGCCAUGAGGCCAAGAUGAAAGCCUUGUAAUCAGUGGAGUUGGAGAAGCAUUGCUUGUUUACACUGAAAGGACAGGCACAUAAAGAGGAACCAGAUUUCACCAGCUGGAAAAGAGCUGACUUGCAGCCUAGAGACACUAUGAUGAAAAAAAUUGCGGCAGCAGGAAUGAAGAAGUGCAACCAAACAUGAGGAAAGAGAUCUAUUGUUUUUUCAUUAAGAAAGAAAAGCUAUGCUAUUAAUAGUGCUGGUAAGGAGGCUGCAUAGUUGGCAAGAUGAUAAGGAGCCUUUGCCUCAAAGCACAAGACAAACUAUAUCAGAUUGAUGUGGUAAAGGAAAAAAAUGCACUGUCUCAUGCUGAUGGCUCUGUGUGAGAACCUCUCAGUGGCAGCUUCUUGCACAGGGAACUAAACUCAGGAAAAGCAACAUUCCACACUGGAUGCCCCCAGUUUUUUUUGUUGGAAGCUGACAGCAGGUCAUACCAAGCAAUGUCAGAGCCCAGAUCCUGCCAUAAAUUCAGGAUCCGGAAGGACGGAUUUUGUCUCCAACUGUUCUGUAAGCAGCAAGCUGCCACACACAGGUCUCUGGUCACGUCGUCUGAACUGGCACAGGGACUGAGGCCAAGGGGCUUCUGGAGAUAAUCCCCUUCUGGAACUGCAGCAGUUUGACAGCUUUGCAGAAAGGGAAAAUCAGCAAUAAAUCUCAAUAUCUGUA